AUUGGAGGGCAAGUCUGGUGCCAGCAGCCGCGGUAAUUCCAGCUCCAAUAGCGUAUAUUAACGUUGUUGCAGUUAAAAAGCUCGUAGUUGAAGUGUGGGUGAUCGCUGUUGUGAGACUUCGGUCUCUCGACAGUAAGUCACCCCCUUCCAGUAUCCAGUAGUGGGUAUUCAGUUACUUACUAUUGUGUGUUGGUCGUUUACUGUGAGAAAAUUAGAGUGUUCAAAGCAGGCGUUUGCUUGAAUAGAUUAGCAUGGAAUAAUAAUUGAAGGCUUUCGUGUUCGAUUUGAUUGGUUUGUUCAUGGAAGCAAGGUUAAAAGGAACAGUUGGGGGUAUUCAUAUUCACUAGUUAGAGGUGAAAUUCUCGGAUUUAUGGAAGAUGAACAAGUGCGAAAGCAUUUACCAAGGAUGUUUUCAUUAAUCAAGAACGAAAGCUAGGGGAUCGAAGAGGAU
rnacentral:rRNA from 1 species